rnacentral:rRNA from 1 species
ACGUAGGGUGCAAGCGUUGUCCGGAUUUACUGGGCGUAAAGCGCUCGUAGGCGGUUUGUCAAGUGUGAAGUGAAAUCUCCAGGGCUCAACCCGGAAACUGCUUCGCAGACUGGCAGACUUGAGUGACUCAGAGGUGGAUAGAAUUCCUGGUGUAGCGGUGAAAUGCGUUGAUAUCAGGAGGAAUACCGACGGCGAAGGCAGUCCACUGGGAGUCUACUGACGCUGAGGAGCGAAAGCGUGGGUAGCAAACAG